CGCUUUACACAUGCAAGUCGAACGGUAACGCGGAGAGAAGCUUGCUUCUCUCCGGCGACGAGUGGCGAACGGGUGAGUAAUACAUCGGAACGUGUCCGCUCGUGGGGGACAACCAGCCGAAAGGUUGGCUAAUACCGCAUGAGUUCUACGGAAGAAAGAGGGGGACCCGCAAGGGCCUCUCGCGAGCGGAGCGGCCGACGACUGAUUAGCCGGUUGGUGAGGUAACGGCUCACCAAAGCAACGAUCAGUAGCUGGUCUGAGAGGACGACCAGCCACACUGGGACUGAGACACGGCCCAGACUCCUACGGGAGGCAGCAGUGGGGAAUUUUGGACAAUGGGCGCAAGCCUGAUCCAGCUAUUCCGCGUGUGGGAUGAAGGCCCUCGGGUUGUAAACCACUUUUGUAGAGAACGAAAAGACACCUUUUAAAAAAGGGUGUUGCUGACGGUACUCUAAGAAUAAGCACCGGCUAACUACGUGCCAGCAGCCGCGGUAAUACGUAGGGUGCGAGCGUUAAUCGGAAUUACUGGGCGUAAAGGGUGCGCAGGCGGUUGAGUAAGACAGAUGUGAAAUCCCCGAGCUUAACUCGGGAAUGGCAUAUGUGACUGCUCGACUAGAGUGUGUCAGAGGGAGGUGGAAUUCCACGUGUAGCAGUGAAAUGCGUAGAUAUGUGGAAGAACACCGAUGGCGAAGGCAGCCCCCUGGGACAUAACUGACGCUCAGGCACGAAAGCGUGGGGAGCAAACAGGAUUAGA
rnacentral:rRNA from 1 species